rnacentral:rRNA from 1 species
GCAGCAAUGCCGCGUGUGUGAAGAAGGCCUUAGGGUUGUAAAGCACUUUCAGACGUGAGGAAAAGUUAAGUCCUAAUACGGCUUAACCCUGACGUUAACGUCAGAAGAAGCACCGGCUAACUCCGUGCCAGCAGCCGCGGUAAUACGGAGGGUGCAAGCGUUAAUCGGAAUUACUGGGCGUAAAGCGCGCGUAGGCGGUUAAAUAAGUCAGAUGUGAAAGCCCCGGGCUCAACCUGGGAACUGCAUUUGAAACUGUUUAGCUAGAGUGUGGUAGAGGAGAGUGGAAUUUCAGGUGUAGCGGUGAAAUGCGUAGAUAUCUGAAGGAACAUCAGUGGCGAAGGCGGCUCUCUGGACCAACACUGACGCUGAGGUGCGAAAGCGUGGGUAGCAAACGGGAUUAGAUACCCCGGUAGUCCACGCCGUAAACGAUGUCAACUAACCGUUGGGCGGGUUUCCGCUUAGUGGUGCAGCUAACGCAAUAAGUUGACCGCCUGGGGAGUACGGCCGCAAGGCUAAAACUCAAAUGAAUUGACGGGGGCCCGCACAAGCGGUGGAGCAUGUGGUUUAAUUCGAUGCAACGCGAAGAACCUUACCUACCCUUGACAUACAGAGAACUUUCUAGAGAUAGAUUGGUGCCUUCGGGAACUCUGAU